GGGCAUCACACCUGUUUCUUAUCUUUUACUGAAAUCUUCUAAAAUUUCAGUACCAAAUCUUAAAAUAUCUCUGAGCAAAUUCCUCAUAUCAUUUUCUCUUGCAGGAUUUCUUUAUAAAUUACUGGUUCUAAUUUAGAUCUAUGUUCUAUAUGUGAGGGUUGAUUACAUGAAGAUGGAAACAUGAAUUCUUUAUAAAAUAUCCAUGC
rnacentral:lncRNA from 1 species